rnacentral:lncRNA from 10 species
GUCUUAGUUAACUCCCUUUUUACUUCUUAUUGUGGAAAUUUUUAAACAUACACAAAAUUAAAGAUAAUGACGUAAUGUACCUGCCCUACCCAGUACCCAACCUCUCACAAACCAUCAACCCAUGUCCAAAAUUGUUUAAUCUGUACCCUUCACAGUGGUUAUAAUCUCAAUCCAUCUCUACUUUGGUUAGAGAUGAUAUUUUAAAACAUGAUAUUUCUUCUUUUCCUUCCCAGGCCAAGUCCUUUAACCUCAUGACCAUCCCAUUUCUGAACCCAUACAUUUUCCAGGAACUCUCAGUUUUUCACUGAGAACAGCAAGUGUGGCAAGAAUAAAGAGCACAACAGUUGCCGUGAAGGCCAUCCCCACCACGUGGGUGUUUCCUGAGUGAGAUGACUUGCACACACAGUGCCAGCAUCUGCUCCAUGGUUACAUCGUGAAUCCUAGACUGGCUCAAAGGCCAAAAGUUGGUAAUAAUCCAAAUCCAUCAACAAUAGAAGGAUUAAAAUUUGUGGUACAUUCAUCUUGUGAAAUGUUAUACAGCUACCUGCAACCAAAUGGAUGAAUCUUACACAACAUUGAGCAAAAACAGCAAAUCAGAAGAAUAAUUCAUUGUGAUUUCAUUGAUAUAAAAUGUAAAAGCAGGCAAAACUAAACAAUGGUAGAACAAGAGGGAAAAGGAAGGAAAUGAUCAUCUUCGAGUUAUAAUGAUGGUUACCGUUCUGUGGCAAGAACAAGAUUGAAAUUCCAUAAGGAUAGGUGGGAAAGGGUGGAGAUUUUCAGGUGUUGGCAAUGUUCUAUUUCUUAAGUUGGAUGGUGGUCCCAUAGAAGUCCAAUUUUUUUAAGCCUUUUUUUUUUCUUUUUUCUUUUUUUUUUUUUUUUUUGAGAUGGUGUCUUGCACUGUCACCCAGGCUGGAGUGCAAUGGCGCGAUCUUAGCUCACUGCAACCUCUGCAUCCUGGGUUCAAGCGAUUAUUCUCCCUCAGCCUCCCGAGUGGCAGGGAUUAUAGGCACCCACCACCAUGCCCAGCUAAUUUUUGUAUUUUUAGUAGAGACAGGGUUUCACCAUGUUGGCCAGGCUGGUCUCAAACUCCUGACCUCAAAUGAUCCACCCGCCUCAGCUUCCCAAAGUGCUGGGAUUACAGGCGUGAGCCACCACGCCUGACCAUUAAUGUUUUCUUCUUUAAUGUAAAUAUAUACGUAUUAUGUUCUUUUAUGAAAGUAUUUUAUAUUCUACAAUGUAAAAUGUUUAAUUUUUUAAAUUGCAUGAUAAUUUUCCCAUAAUUUGGUUUUAUAAAGCUCUAGAGAGAAAAGGAAAAGAAGCAACUUACUAAAAAUAUUCCCAAGGCAAAGACAAGGAACUGUGCCUCCACUCCUUCCUUUAGCUUGUAAGUUGCUUUGGGGCCCUGGGUUGCGAUUCUUAACCCACAGUGGAUGUUAAAUAAAUAUUUGAUGGUGUUGAGGGCUUAAGUAAUGGUUUAUGUAAACAUCAAGAGCUGCUGCUCAGAACAUAUUCUCAUGGCACAAUACUAAAUUGACCAGAGAGAUUUCACUGUGGUGUGCCUCAGACUGUAGAAUAUAAGGAAGUCUCAUUAACUUGUCAAGUUGACAGAGUUUGGGAAUUUGUUUUGUUGUUGCAAACCCACUGUUUGCAAAAUGAGUAUUCUCAUAUAUGGUCAGUAGGUCUGUAAAAUAGCACAUGUAAGAAGGGCAAUUUGGCAAUACUCAUUAAAAGCCUUCAAAAUAAUAGUCUUGACUCAGCAAUUUCACUUCUAAGAAUUAAUCGUAAAGAAGCCAUCAUGGAGUUUGUAUGUAAAGAUUUAGCUAUAAGGACAUUGUUUGUAAGAGUAAAAAAUGGGAAGCAACAUAGUUAUCUGACAACAUGGGACUUGUUAAACAGAUUGUGGUACACUCCAGUUGAAUUCCAGGCUGGGCGCGGUGGCUCACGUCUGUAAUCCCAGCACUUUGGGAGGCCUAGGCGGGCAGAUCACCUGAGGUCUGGAGUUCAAGAAGAGCCUAGCCAAUAUGGCAAAACCUCGUCUCUGCUAAAAAUACAAAAAUAAGAAAAAUUAGCCGGGUGUGGUGGUGCGUGCCCGUAGUCCCAGCUACUCAGGAGUCUGAGGCCUGUGAUGGCUUGAACCAGGGAGCCGGAGGUUGCAAUAAGCUGACGUCACACCACUGAACUCCAGCCUGGGCAACAGAACAAGACUCC